rnacentral:rRNA from 1 species
UACAGAGGUCUCGAGCGUUGUUCGGAUUCAUUGGGCGUAAAGGGUGCGUAGGUGGCGUGGUAAGUCUGGUGUGAAAUCCCGGGGCUCAACCCCGGAACUGCACUGGAUACUGCCAUGCUUGAGUACUGGAGAGGAGAUUGGAAUUUACGGUGUAGCAGUGAAAUGCGUAGAUAUCGUAAGGAAGACCAGUGGCGAAGGCGAAUCUCUGGACAGUUACUGACACUGAGGCACGAAGGCCAGGGGAGCAAAACGGGG